AGGACGAACGCUGGCGGCGUGCUUAACACAUGCAAGUCGAACGAGGCGCUUGCGCCUAGUGGCGAACGGGUGAGUAACACGUGAGCAACCUGCCCUUGGCUCUGGGAUAGCCUCCGGAAACGGGGAUUAAUACCGGACAUGACCCGUGAUUGCAUGAUCACGGGUGGAAAGUUUUUCGGCCAGGGAUGGGCUCGCGGCCUAUCAGCUUGUUGGGGGGUAACGGCCCACCAAGGCGACGACGGGUA
rnacentral:rRNA from 1 species